rnacentral:rRNA from 1 species
GAUUCUGGCUCAGGAUGAACGCUGGCGGCAUGCCUAAUACAUGCAAGUCGAACGGAGUGAAGCCUUCGGGUUUCAUUCAGUGGCGAACGGGUGAGUAAUACGCAGGGAACCUGGCCAUGGCAGGGGGAUACACUCUGGAAACGGAGCAUAAGACCCCAUAGGCAGUAAGGCGGCAUCGCCUUGCUGUUAAAGAAAGCUGAAAGGCUUUGGCGAUGGAUGGACCUGCGGUGCAUUAGCUUGUUGGUGAGGCAACGGCUUACCAAGGCGAUGAUGCAUAGCCGGCCUGAGAGGGCGGACGGCCACACUGGGACUGAGACACGGCCCAGACUCCUGCGGGAGGCAACAGUAGGGAAUUUUCGUCAAUGGGCGCAAGCCUGAACGAGCAAUGCCGCGUGAGUGAGGAAGGUCUUCGGACUGUAAAGCUCUGUUGCCGGGGAAAAAGGGGAAAUGCAGGAAAUGGCAUUUCAUGGAUGGUACCCGGCCAGAAAGCCACGGCUAACUACGUGCCAGCAGCCGCGGUAAUACGUAGGUGGCGAGCGUUAUCCGGAAUGAUUGGGCGUAAAGGGUGCGCAGGCGGUCUGUUAAGUCUGAAGGCAAAGGGAUGAGCUCAACUCAUUUAUGAUUCAGAAACUGGCAGACUUGAGGACAGGAGAGGGCGGUGGAACUCCAUGUGUAGCGGUAAAAUGCGCAGAGAUAUGGAAGAACACCAGUGGCGAAGGCGGCCGCCUGGCCUGUGACUGACGCUGAGGCACGAAAGCGUGGGGAGCAAAUAGGAUUAGAUACCCUAGUAGUCCACGCCGUAAACGAUGAGGAGCAGGUGUUGGGAGUGAAAUCUCAGUGCCGAAGCCAACGCAGUGACUCCUCCGCCUGGGGAGUAUGCACGCAAGUGUGAAACUCAAAGGAAUUGACGGGGGCCCGCACAAGCGGUGGAGUAUGUGGUUUAAUUCGAAGCAACGCGAAGAACCUUACCAGGUUUUGGCAUCGGAUGCGAAGGCGCAGAGAUGCGCUGGAGGCUAUCAUCCAGACAGGUGGUGCAUGGUUGUCGUCAGCUCGUGUCGUGAGAUGUUCAGUUAAGUCUGGCAACGAGCGCAACCCCCGUGGUAUGUUACUAACGCAUUUGGGCGAGGACUCAUAUCAGACUGCCGGUGACAAACCGGAGGAAGGCGGGGAUGACGUCAAAUCAUCAUGCCCCUUAUGACCUGGGCUACACACGUACUACAAUGGCGUCUACAGAGGGAAGCGACCCUGAGAAGGGAAGCGAAACCGGAAAAGGGCGUCCCAGUUCGGAUUGAAGUCUGCAACCCGACUUCAUGAAGAUGGAAUCGCUAGUAAUCGCGGAUCAGCAUGCCGCGGUGAAUACGUUCCCGGGCCUUGUACACACCGCCCGUCAAACCAUGGAAGCCGGCAACGCCCGAAGCCGGUGGCAUAACCUUUUAGGAGUGAGCCGUCGAAGGCGGGGCCGAUGACUGGGGUUAAGUCGUAACAAGGUAGCC